rnacentral:rRNA from 1 species
UGCAAGUCGAACGAGGAUUUAACGGAAUGCGAUUCGUCAAAUGAAAUUAAAUCCGAGUGGCGGACGGGUGAGUAACGCGUGGAUAACCUGCCUCACACAGGGGGACAACAGCCGGAAACGGCUGCUAAUACCGCAUAACACAAGCAAUUCGCAUGAAUAGCUUGCCAAAGAUUUUAUCGGUGUGAGAUGGAUCCGCGUCUGAUUAGCCAGUUGGCGGGGUAACGGCCCACCAAAGCGACGAUCAGUAGCCGACCUGAGAGGGUGAUCGGCCACAUUGGGACUGAGACACGGCCCAAACUCCUACGGGAGGCAGCAGUGGGGAAUAUUGCACAAUGGGCGAAAGCCUGAUGCAGCGACGCCGCGUGAAGGAUGAAGUAUUUCGGUAUGUAAACUUCUAUCAGCAGGGAAGAAAAUGACGGUACCUGACUAAGAAGCCCCGGCUAACUACGUGCCAGCAGCCGCGGUAAUACGUAGGGGGCAAGCGUUAUCCGGAUUUACUGGGUGUAAAGGGAGCGUAGAUGGCAUGGCAAGUCUGAAGUGAAAGCCCGGGGCUUAACCCCGGGACUGCUUUGGAAACUGUUAAGCUAGAGUGCAGGAGAGGUAAGCGGAAUUCCUAGUGUAGCGGUGAAAUGCGUAGAUAUUAGGAGGAACACCGGUGGCGAAGG